AUUGAACGCUGGCGGCAGGCCUAACACAUGCAAGUCGAGCGGAUGAAGGGAGCUUGCUCCUGGAUUCAGCGGCGGACGGGUGAGUAAUGCCUAGGAAUCUGCCUGGUAGUGGGGGAUAACGUCCGGAAACGGGCGCUAAUACCGCAUACGUCCUGAGGGAGAAAGUGGGGGAUCUUCGGACCUCACGCUAUCAGAUGAGCCUAGGGCGGAUUAGCUAGUUGGUGGGGUAAAGGCCUACCAAGGCGACGAUCCGUAACUGGUCUGAGAGGAUGAUCAGUCACACUUGAACUGGGACACGGUCCAGACUCCUACGGGAGGCAGCAGUGGGGGAUAUUGGCCAAUGGGCGGAAGCCUGAACCAGCCAUGCCGCGUGGGUGAAGAAGGUCUUCGGAUUGUAAAGCACUUUAAGUUGGGAAGAAAGGCAGUAAGUUAAUACCUUGCUGUUCUGACGUUACCAACAGAAUAAGCACCGGCUAAAUUCGUGC
rnacentral:rRNA from 1 species